rnacentral:rRNA from 1 species
UACGUAGGUGGCAAGCGUUAUCCGGAUUUAUUGGGCGUAAAGGGAACGCAGGCGGUCUUUUAAGUCUGAUGUGAAAGCCUUCGGCUUAACCGGAGUAGUGCAUUGGAAACUGGGAGACUUGAGUGCAGAAGAGGAGAGUGGAACUCCAUGCGUAGCGGUGAAAUGCGUAGAUAUAUGGAAGAACACCAGUGGCGAAAGCGGCCCUCUGGUCUGUAACUGACGCUGAGGUUCGAAAGCGUGGGUAGCAAACAGG